GGGGGAGACACUCACCUGUCUGUUGGGGCCGCGGGUGCCUUGGAAUUCUGGCCCCUCUGCCGCUCUGGCUUCGGGGAGCUGAGUCUCCCACCUGACUUUCGGUCCCGAGAACCUGGGCAACAGAGGACAAGAAAGACGUAAGGAGCAGAGCCAGUGAGAAAAAGGAAAAGGGGAGGAUUGAUUACACUGGAAAAUGAAGCCCCAGAAAAACACGGAAGCCGAGGUCUAAUUUCGGUUCUGGUUUCUUGAGCCAGCAUCAAAACAGGCCACCAAGCUCUGAGCGUCCAACGCCAAGCAGACAAAACCCUCCUUCCGUGCCUUGCAGAAACUCACGAGGCCGAGUGAUUCGUGUGACCAGAAGAGAUGGGAUCCCAGCCGUGAGAGGGUUGUUAAAAAACAAAAGACCAAUGCCAUUCCUACUAACGUCUGUUUUGGAAGAUACAGUUAUUUUCUAUAAAAAUCUUACCUGUGUUAUUUAAAAACUUUCCUGCCCGUGAGAAACGCCCAUCAGAGCCUCCGUUGAGUGAGCCACCCAGGACUCCCUAAGCCUGAGGCCCGGGAGUCGACCCCGUUCAGGAGGAAAACCUGCCACGGGGGCUGGGCCAGGCGCACGUGGGGACGGCCAGCGUCAGGACGGGCCUCGCGCUCGGCAGAGCUGCAGGAGCGGAGCCCACUCUUACCCGGCGGACCGUGCACCCCAACCCUGCACGCCAGGUAUUGUGAGCUGUCACUCAGCACAAGAUGACACUCAGGAGAAGCAGGCCCAGCGGUCAUCUAACCCCACAAACCCAGGAACGCGGCCUUCAGACGCAACAGCUUCAACGACCUCCUCGUGCUGCUCCCACCCGCCCUACACUGUCCUAGGGUGAGACAGCCUGCCAGGAAGGGGCGCCACUGGGGGCCACAGACCCCGCAGGAGGACCCGUCGGUUUACCCCAAGAACACUUUGUGACGUGCUCCCCAGGGAAGCGGUGGGCACGUGCGUCUGUGUGGGUCUGUGUGUGGUGUGCGUGUGAGCGCGCAGGGGUGGGUCCAUGCCCCGCUGCGGCCCUCUGGGAGAGCUGCGCCUGUCUGCGACUGCGGGGACAGAACCACACAGGCGGCCCCGCCCCGCGCAGCCUCCCUCUGGUCCCAGACCUGUCCUGGGUGGGGCCCCACCUGCGCGUCUCAGGCUGGCAGGAGGCAGAGAGGGCGGGGGAGUGACUCUGGGUCCGUGUGCAGGUGGCACCGGGGGUGGAGGCGCACGCAGCAGCCUGCCCUGGUUGAAAAGGCUGAAGAGGCAAAAACGGUGUCAGCCGUUUCCUAUUCCUCAUGCGAACCAGUGACUCCUCCCACCCAGACGAUGGCCAGAAAUUCUCUAACAUCCCAAGCAGUCUGCCUAUUUUCAGUGGGGAAAUACUCCCCAUCUUUCUGGAACAGGGCAGUAGCACCUUCUGCGAAGAUGGAAACAGUCUGUAUCUGAGCCCCCAAACAGGGGUUGCGCACACUCCAAAAUUCCAGUGUGCUGGAAUGUGACCCACCACGUGUGGUCAGUGCAGGUCCACAGGAGGUCACCCGAGCUGGCGCUGACCCUGUGGCCGCCUUGUUCAUGAUAUGAGCACAGCCCCCAAUCAGGCCAACAGCGGUGUGGCUUGCGAGCCCCGAUGUGCACCGUGCACUGUGUCGGUUCCUCAGCCCCUCGCUGUGUAUUCUUCAGAAUUCACCAGACACCUAACCUAGUGAGACUAUUCCUCAACAAAUGAGGAGCUGGAAGGCCCCCGUCAAAACAGAAAGCUGCCGUCACGCAGGAACCUGGACGAGCCGGCGCUCUCCACACCUGCUGGGCCUCAG